ensembl:lncRNA LINC02350 long intergenic non-protein coding RNA 2350
GCGGGCGCACUUUCCCCGCCUGCAUCUGAGGCGUGGCGCAGCUGGGAGCAAAGCACAGCUCCAUUUCUGGCCUUUGGUCUCUUUCUCGGAAAGCAGGCCUCAGUGGCCUCAGUUUCUUCCCAGAACCUGCAAUGCCCCACCAAGGUGACAAGAAGUGCAAGGAGUCGGUUUUCACUGCCAACCAAAGAGGUGACCCCCGCAAAGCAACCAUGUUGGGACAGUCCAUUUGCUGCGUUUUGAUUAUUUGCUAAGAGCAAAUACCUUUUCUGUUUGGGUUUUGCUUUUAGAAAAAAAAUGUGGCAGAUGGUGGUGGCUUUCCCCGUCAUUGAAAGAAGAAAGGAGCAUCUUUGAAAGCUGAGCUAGAGGCGGAGCAACUGGUAAACCAGAUGUCCCAAAUUUCUAGCGCUUAGAGGAAGCAUCUGGGAUUGAGCCAUCUCACAUCUGUCUAAUCACAUUCAUUCAAAUGUGAUGGGCCCAACUGGCCUACGUACAUGGCUGCAUAUCACCAUGGGUGGAAAUUAAAUCAGAAUUUGGCUCAGGAGAGAGAUGAAGAGAAAAUGCACGUAGAUAAUUGGCUCAGAUAACAUUCUGUUUCUGGAAGUCACAAAGAGUGGAAAUUGGAAUAUGUAAAUUAAAGAAAAACAGUCCUUAAGAUCAAGUCCGCAAUGGAAGAAGAGCAUUCAUCUGGUACAGGUUGAUGAUUGUGUAAGCCCAAGGAGUGAUGUCAACACUGGGGUUCACCUGAGAACAUGGACAUGGUUGAUGAGGGUUUAGGAGAUGCUCAUACGAAGUCUUCAUAUGUUCCCUGGAUCCCAGCUCUGCCUUCCCACCAGAGAGGAUGUAAUUCAGCCGAGAUGCCCAGAGUCAGCUCUCUGCUCAUAUCUGUUCCGCACUGAAGCCAAUCAUCUGAGAAACCUAAGAAGUGUUUAAUGUAGUUAGGAAAGUGAGGGAUGAAGACCAUAAAUUCCUUUUCAUGUAGCAGAGUAUAUAUGUGAUACUCAUUCUGUGGUAUUUGGGGCAUAAACAAGAGUCGAUGAAGGAAUGUGAAAGUACUCGAAAUCCUGACUUUUAUCUCUAUAAAAAUGGCAUAGGGAUGAAACACACUUGGUUGUUAUGACUGUACUCUUUUCAGAUUUACUACUUGCCUUUCUACUGAUUUUUCUGUGCCACAGGUCUUGACUCCUGUAGGCUAAAUUUCUCAGCCUCUUCUGCUCACUGAUAUAUGGGAAGGUUUGGCCAAAGGUGGGUGACUGGUGGGGAGAAGGAUGAGGGAAUUCAGGGGAUUGCUGAGCCCAUUCUCUAGACAGUGCUGCUGGCACUGGCUCUGUCUUCUCCGUUUCCAUCUCGCAUCAGACGGUUCUUCCCUCUAUGGGCCUAGUCCUACCUAGACACUUUCCAGUUGGAUUCCAGUUCUGGGGAUGCUCCCUCCUGCAGGGAUCUAAGUCCUUCCCAUUGUCUUCGGCUCCUGGGCUCAGCUAGAACCAUCUUUUCCCAUUGUCCCUGUGGUGCUAGGGCUUUCAGUGGUUAUUAACGUCUGUGUUGUAUCAUCUUGCCUGAAUUUCAGCUCUCUGUAACCAGUUCCCCAAAUAAAAUUCCCCCCAUUUACCUA